CUCUCUCUCUCUCUCUCUCUCUCUAUCUCAAUACUCUACAAUUGACUGUGAUCUCUCUCUCUCUCUCUACUCUGCAACUAUCUGUAAUGCAAUCUCUAAUUCGCUCUCUCUCUCUCUCCCCUGCAACUGUCUGUAAUGCAGUUCCUAAUUUUCUCUAUCUCAAUACACUGCAACUGACUGUAUUGCAGUCUCUGAAUUUGCUCUCUCUCUCUCUCUACUCUGAAACUUACUGUAAUGCAAUCUCUGAAUUUGCUCUCUCUCUGAUCUGCAACUGACUGUAAUGCAGUAUCUGAAUUUGCUCUCUCUUUCUCUCUCUCUCCCCUGAAACUGUAAUGCCUGUGCAUCUACACUAUAACUGAAAUUUAGGGAAUUUGGACUUGGGGCAGUGGCAACAACAACGUGUUCAAGGCUUGAUUGGGGGGCCCGUUUUAUAGUGAGAGAAAAAGAUAUGGAUCCCAUGAUGAUAAUAAAUGAAGGCCAUACCCUUCCUUGUCUUUGUUCACACUUCUGCCACUUUCUUAUCCAUGACCAAGCAGGAGAUCUUAUUCUUGAGCAAGUGGCAUGCGAGGGGGAAAGUCAACUGAAAAUUAAUAACUUCUGAAGCAUACUGAUAUGUUUUUGAGGGGAUCCCCUUGUAUUUUUCGGUGAGAGGAAGGAACUUGGAGUUCUUUGACAUUGUUUAUUUGAAUUCUCUCUCUUUCUCUAACAUACACACACAGACUCGUGAUAUGUUACUCUGCAUGCUUUCGCUUUUUUUUUACUGGAGUAUAAACUUUCAGA